rnacentral:lncRNA from 1 species
UCAAUGUAUAAUCAUAUUAAAGAGAUUUUGUUACUUUGUCUAAUCAGUAGGUGUAGGGUUCUUUAUUUUCGGUUUUCUUUCUUGUAUUAAAUAGGCGCUAGCUGUCUCCAUUGUGUACGCUUAAUUCAUUUCGCUUAAUGAAUGAAACAGGUAGCUUGCUACCUAUUUCUCAAAGAAAAAAAAAAAAGAUUUCAAAUAAGAAAAAUAUUGUAGAAUAUAUAGAAUUAGGCUACUAUACUAUCUAUAGUACCGAGCUCCAGUACUAUAGUGUUUGUUUUCGAUCUUAGGGCGUUCAAAUCAACGAUCCACACCAUUAAAUAUGAUCUAGGGUAUAUGAAUGUUUUAGGAAUAAAAUUUUAGUUUUUUUCGAUAUCGUUUACUUAGUAAAUAAAUUAUAUCAAAAUGGACGGUGAAAAUUGAAUAAUCUUUAAAAUUUGAGUAUAUGACUUUUAAAUUCAAGAUCAAGAAUGUUAACCUCAAUUUAUAUAGUUUAAAGUAUUUUCUAUCAAAAUUUGAAGAAAUUUAGAUUCUUCUACACCGUUAAACUCCAAACUUGUCAUAAUAGCCAUUGAAAAUUGACAAUUUUCAAAUAGUUUGAUCAUAAAGUAAACUAUGUCGAAAAAAUAUAAAAUUUUAUUUCUAGAAACUUAAAUAAUCUAGAUCAGUUUUAACGGUGUGGAUCAUUGAUUUGAACGCCCUAAGA